rnacentral:misc_RNA from 1 species
GCCCUAUUCUAGCCAAACCCACAAUAUAAAACCCAGCCCAGAAAACAAAUCACAGGAGUCUUGCUCAAGCAAAACCCCUAAUCCUAUAAAGAGCUGCCACUCAUGGAUGUUGCCAGAGAUGAAACCCAUACAGAGCCACUAUUCUUGGCUGUUACUGGAGAUGGAAUGAAUUAGCAGGCUGACACCAUGACACUACCUCAACAAGCAGGCCAACACCUGCUGGCCAAACGUAUUGCCUUGGAUAUCAAACCAACUAGGAGCUAGACCACUGAAGAGAUAUCACCACCACAAUAGUCGUAGGAGGGGGAGAUGGUAGAGUUCAUGG